GGAAGGAUCAUUACCGAAUUCUAGCUGCUCCGGUUCAGGCCGGUUGCACGCUUCAACCCUUUGUGAACCAAAAAAACCUUACGCUUCGGCAGCUGGCCCAACCAGCUGUAAGCCUGCCGACGGCACCCAAUUUAAACCUGUCUUUAAAACAUUGUCUGAAUUAAACAUUUUCGAAUGAAAAUUAAAACUUUCAACAACGGAUCUCUUGGUUCUCGCAUCGAUGAAGAACGCAGCGAAACGCGAUAGUUAAUGUGAAUUGCAGAAUUCAGUGAAUCAUCGAGUCUUUGAACGCACAUUGCGCCCAUUGGUAUUCCUUUGGGCAUGUCUGUUUGAGCGUCAUUACAACACCUCAGCGCAAGCUGGUUUUGAGCCGUGAGGGUUCUCUUUCUGAGCCCUUCCGCUUUAAAGUUGUAAGCUCUGCUGACCUCCAGCUUGACCGGAAACAUAGUAAACCAUUGCUUGUUUAUGGAACGGUUGGGGGGUUUUCGGCCUGAACAAAAUCUUCAAUUUCUAAGGUUUGACCUCAGAUCAGACAAGGAUACCCGCUGAACUUAAGCAUAUCAAUAAGCGGAGGAAAAGAAACCAACAGGGAUUGCCUCAGUAACGGCGAGUGAAGCGGCAUCAGCUCAAAUUUGAAAUCUGGAGCCUUCGGCUUCCGAGUUGUAAUUUGAAGAGGAUAUUUCGGAGCGGCCCUGAUCUAAGUUCCUUGGAACAGGAUGUCAUGGAGGGUGAGAAUCCCGUACAUGGUCGUGGGCUUGCUCCAUGUGAAAUACCUUCGAAGAGUCGAGUUGUUUGGGAAUGCAGCUCAAAAUGGGUGGUAAAUUUCAUCUAAAGCUAAAUAUUGGCGAGAGACCGAUAGCGCACAAGUAGAGUGAUCGAAAGAUGAAAAGCACUUUGAAAAGAGAGUUAAACAGUACGUGAAAUUGUUGAAAGGGAAGCGCUUGCAAUCAGACUCACCUGCGGUUGAUCAACGUUCCUUUUGGUUCGUGCACUCUGCCGUUUGUGGGCCAGCAUCAGUUGGAGCGGUGGGACAAAGGUAACGGGAAUGUGGCUCUCUUCGGGGAGUGUUAUAGCCCGUUGCGUAAUGCCACCAGCUCCGACUGAGGUCCGCGGUUCGCCUAGGAUGCUGGCUUAAUGGUUGUAAGCGACCCGUCUUGAAACACGGACCAAGGAGUCUAACAUCUAUGCGAGUCUUUGGGUGUCAAACCCAUGGGCGAAAUGAAAGUGAACGGAGGUGGGAGUCCUCGGAUGCACCAUCGACCGAUCCGGAUGUUCUCGGAAGGAUUUGAGUAGGAGCAUAGCUGUUGGGACCCGAAAGAUGGUGAACUAUGCCUGAAUAGGGUGAAGCCAGAGGAAACUCUGGUGGAGGCUCGCAGCGGUUCUGACGUGCAAAUCGAUCGUCAAAUUUGGGUAUAGGGGCGAAAGACUAAUCGAACCAUCUAGUAGCUGGUUCCUGC
rnacentral:misc_RNA from 1 species